AACGAACGCUGGCGGCAUGCCUAACACAUGCAAGUCGAACGAGACCUUCGGGUCUAGUGGCGCACGGGUGCGUAACGCGUGGGAACCUGCCCUUAGGUUCGGAAUAACUCCCCGAAAGGGGUGCUAAUACCGGAUAAUGUCUUCGGACCAAAGAUUUAUCGCCUUUGGAUGGGCCCGCGUUGGAUUAGCUAGUUGGUAGGGUAAAAGCCUACCAAGGCGACGAUCCAUAGCUGGUCUGAGAGGAUGAUCAGCCACACUGGGACUGAGACACGGCCCAGAGUCAUGCGGGAGGCAGCAGUGGGGGGUAGUGCGCAAGGGGCGGAAGCCUGACGCAGCGACGCAGCGUGAGGGACGGAGGCCUUCGGGUUGUGAACGUCGUUCGCCGGUGGAGAAGGCGCGCCCGUGUGGGGUGCGGACGGUAGCCGGGUUAAGAAGCGCCGGCUAACUACGUG
rnacentral:rRNA from 1 species